rnacentral:lncRNA from 1 species
UCCCCACCCUCUUCCAGAACACAGAUCCAAAGAACUCAUUCUCUCCCUAUUGAAUUCUCUGCUUUACCUUCCAAAGUUCCAAGCAUCAAAUACGAUAAACACAUAAGCAAUGGCAAAACGAAAAAAAACAUUCUACUUCUCCAUGAAUCUGUCCCUCAUUUAGCGUGGAACUAGAGCGUUCCAAAGCCACAAAUCGAGUAGUGAACCCAAACAAGUUAAAGAUCAAUGAAAAUGGCGAGUAAUUUCAUCAAGAACAUGGACAAAAAUAGACCAAAGAAACAGCAAAAUAUGGAUAAAGCAUAAGAAG